rnacentral:rRNA from 1 species
CAGCCGCCGCGGUAAUACGAAGGGUGCAAGCGUUACUCGGAAUUACUGGGCGUAAAGCGCACGCAGGCGGUCUGACAAGUCAGAUGUGAAAUCCCCGGGCUUAACCUGGGAACUGCAUUUGAAACUGUCAGGCUGGAGUCUUGUAGAGGGGGGUGGAAUUCCAGGUGUAGCGGUGAAAUGCGUAGAGAUCUGGAGGAAUACCGGUGGCGAAGGCGGCCCCUUGGACAAAGACUGACGCUCAGGUGCGAAAGCGUGGGGAGCAAACAGGAUUAGAUACCCCGGUAGUCCCUGUCUCUUAUAC